rnacentral:tmRNA from 1 species
GGGGCUGAUCUGGAUUCGACGGGAUACACGAAACCCAAGGUGCAUGCCGAGGUGAGGCAGGCCUCGUAAAAAGCCUCAACCUAAUAGUUGCAAACGACGACAACUACGCUCUAGCGGCUUAAUAACCCGCUAAGCCCAUCCCCCGGCGCUUUGUCUGCGAGACCGGACUAGGAUGGCUCAACCUAAUGUAGACUCGCGUGGAUGCUUUGUCCGGAGCUGAAGCGUUAAACUUAAUCGGACUCGUCAGUUGUGAAGCCUGUCAGUCGGCGUCACACUGAUUAAC